rnacentral:rRNA from 1 species
UACGAAGGGGGCUAGCGUUGUUCGGAAUCACUGGGCGUAAAGCGCACGUAGGCGGAUCUUUAAGUCAGGGGUGAAAUCCCGAGGCUCAACCUCGGAACUGCCUUUGAUACUGGGGAUCUCGAGUCCGGGAGAGGUGAGUGGAACUGCGAGUGUAGAGGUGAAAUUCGUAGAUAUUCGCAAGAACACCAGUGGCGAAGGCGGCUCACUGGCCCGGAACUGACGCUGAGGAGCGAAAGCCAGGGAGCAAAGCGGGAUU